rnacentral:rRNA from 1 species
GACGAACGCUGGCGGCGUGCUUAACACAUGCAAGUCGAACGGAAAGGCCCUGCUUUUGUGGGGUGCUCGAGUGGCGAACGGGUGAGUAACACGUGAGUAACCCGCCCUUGUCUUUCGGAUAAAUUCUGGAAACUGGGGCUCAUACCGGAUAGGAUCUCCUGCAGCAUGGUGGGGGUUGGAAAGUGUCGGCGGUUGGGGAUGGACUGGCGGGUUAUCAGCUUGUUGGUGGGGUAGUGGCUUACCAAGGCUUUGACGGGUAGCCGGCCUGAGAGGGUGACCGGCCACAUUGGGACUGAGAGACGGCCCAGACGCCUACGGGAGGCAGCAGGGGGGAAUAUUGCACAAUGGGCGGAAGCGUGAUGCAGAAGCGCCGCGUGCGGGAUGACGGCUUACGGGUGAUAAACCGAUGUCGCCGUAGAUGAAGCGGGAGUGACGGUAAUGGAUAAAGAAGCACCGGCUAACUACGUG